GGGGGGUUAACCAUUUUGGAUAGAAAAAAGCUUAUAUCUGUGCAUAUGUGUGUCUAAUAUUAUGUUUUUUUCACAUAUAAAUAAUUGUAUCCUGGGCUGCAAAUAUGCCAGAUAUUCAACAGAAAACAACACUUGCAAUGUCUGUGGAUGAUCCAAAUGCUGCAGUGACCAGAACCCAUUUUCAAGAACAAGUAGUGUUGCUCAUGGUAUGCGGAUACAACCUGCUUGGUAUUUUCAACAUAUAAGCCAGUUACACUGAUGGAAUUUACAUCAUGCAAAUUAAGAACAACUUGAAUACUUUCACUUUGACUCAUAUCCUGCAUUUCAACUGUUUUGGUUUGCAAUAGUUUAUCAUUUCACAUUGCUAUAUCUGUUUACUGAAUGACAUGACUUAACUCUUGUUGUCAAAAUAGCAUUCACAAGUUUACUGAAUAACAUAAGGCUGUUUUUUUUUUCAUUUACUUAACUCCUAUUGCCUGUUAAACUACAUUUCAUUUUGACCAGUGCAUUUUCCCAAAUUAUUUUCACAGAAGUGACAUAGUAUACAAUGUUUCACAUUUUCUGUUAGUAAAGUUUGUUCCAGAGGCAGUAAAGGAAGGAAAAAGGAUUGUGCUUAUGUUCAGCAGGGCAGUCUAGUAACACUGAAUUUCUUUCUCUAGCACUAUUUUCUUGUGCUUCUGUAGGAAUUUUAUCUGUUAUGCAGUGAGACAGUUUGAGUCACAUAUUCAUUAUUGUGAGGACUUUCUGUUAACUCAUUUGCUGACAAUUUCAUUCUGAUGGAUGUAGAAAGGUGUUUUAUUACCAUCAAUUGAAUUGCUCUUCUGUUGUAUUACUCAAGAAUGCUUUAUUUGCAAUUAAAGCUCUUUCUAAGUUUGUUGUUCAGUUAUUUUAAUGACAUUGGUACUGCCACGUUCAUCUGUCAUGGAUUGACUUUUUACAUUCCGUUUCUGAGAGUAAUUCUCAAAAUUGUUAAUAACUAUUCUAUUGAUUUAAAUAAAUUAAUUGCUAUAUGAUAUCGCCACUGUUAUUUCAGAACAUAUCAUAUAUUAUGUACUUCUGUAUUCUUGGCACAUAUUAGUUGUAUUUCAUUCACUGUCGCAUGUUUAUGUUAUCUUAUGUACUCUGUAUGAGUCGUCAUGCUAUUGACCUUGGUCUGAAAGUGGUCAGAACUGAUCAAUGCUUAAUCUGAGUUAACAACCUCAGUAAUUAAAUUAAUAAAUAAAUACUCUUUUUCACAUUAUAACUGUAUAUUUUAAUAUAUGCUAGCAUACUUUUCAGAUUUCUGAUUCUGUAUUUAACUUGUUAUUUGAGCAACUUUACACUGGUCAUUUAUGUUGUACUGUUUGUCAUUUAUUAAUUUUCUGCAAUGCUUAGUUAUAAGCCCUCAGACAGAGCUUGAUUUAAUUUCUUAACUGUUUGAACUGCAUGAAUUUAAGCAGACUUUAUCAAAAAAAAAACUGCACAGACUGAAAAUUUUGGAAUAUCACA